UGGGGAAUAUUGCACAAUGGAGGGAACUCUGAUGCAGCAACGCCGCGUGCGGGAUGACGGCCUUCGGGUUGUAAACCGCUUUCAGCCAUGACGAAGCUUUUGUGACGGUAGUGGUAGAAGAAGCACCGGCUAACUACGUGCCAGCAGCCGCGGUGAUACGUAGGGUGCGAGCGUUGUCCGGAAUUAUUGGGCGUAAAGAGCUUGUAGGCGGUUUGUCGCGUCGAUAGUGUAAACACGCAGCUUAACUGUGUGCCUGCUGUCGAUACGGGCUGACUAGCGGAGGGUAGGGGAGCAUGGAAUUCCCGGUGGAGCGGUCGAAUGCGCCGAUAUCGGGAGGAACACCAGUGGCGAAGGCGGUUCUCUGGACCUUUCCUGACGCUGAGAAGCGAAAGCGUGGGUAGCAAACAGG
rnacentral:rRNA from 1 species